rnacentral:tRNA from 1 species
GGGGUUGUGGCUCAGAGGUAGAGUUCUUGCCUAGCAUGCAUGAGGCACUGGGUUCAAUCCUUAGCACCA